rnacentral:tRNA from 1 species
GGCGCUGUGGCUAAGGUGGGUCAAAGUGCCUGUCUAGUAAACAGGGAGAUCCUGGGUUCAAAUCCCAGCAGUGCCU